UACGAAGGGGGCUAGCGUUGCUCGGAAUCACUGGGCGUAAAGGGUGCGUAGGCGGGUCUUUUAAGUCAGGGGUGAAAUCCUGGAGCUCAACUCCAGAACUGCCUUUGAUACUGAAGAUCUUGAGUUCGGGAGAGGUGAGUGGAACUGCGAGUGUAGAGGUGAAAUUCGUAGAUAUUCGCAAGAACACCAGUGGCGAAGGCGGCUCACUGGCCCGGAACUGACGCUGAGGUGCGAAAGCGUGGGGAGCAAACAGG
rnacentral:rRNA from 1 species